AGCAGCGUGGCGCAGAGGGAGCGCGCUGGGAGCAUUCCCCAGAGGUCACUCGAUCGAAACGGGUCGCUGCUA